CUGGAGUUCAGAACCGGAGAAGAUGUCAAGACGGUCGAGGAAAAUACAGACUGCUCGCUGUUAUCCUCAAAAACCUCACCAAGAUCUUUGUCAGACUGUAUUGUUUGCGAACACUAAGGCCUAUGUUAUCAGAGGACUUGCUAACAUGAAGAAAACGUCCAGAGGAAAUGACCGAUCGUUUCGCUAAAUAAGACCCUUCUUACUUAUCUGGGAUCAUGUUUUGAAGAUGCAAUUUGGACCCCACUGAAGUCCACUAUAAAGAGAGAAACCCUGGACGGUUUUCCUCAAAAACCUUAAUUUCUUUUUGACUGAAGAAAGAAAGACAAUAAAUAAAGGGAAUAAAUUAUGAGUAAAUUAAUUUAGA